GGAAGCAAAUCAGACUCAUCAGAUUCUGAAUUUUAAAAGCUGCUGAAUUUCCUACUUUGAAUUUUUUUGCAUCAAAAUUACGUAUGUGAAUUUUUUAUGCCUGAAUUUAGCUCAUCAAAAUUCUAAAAACCAGUUAAAAAUUCAAUGUCUUCAAAAUUCGCCAUCAAAAAAAUUCAAUGUCUUCAAAAUUCGCCAUCAAAAAAAUUCGAUGUGUUCAAAAUUCACCAUCAAAAAAUUCAAUGUUCAAAAUUCGCCAUCAAAAAAUUCAAUGUUCAAAAUUCGCCAUCAAAAAAUUCAAUGUUCAAAAUUCGCCAUCAAAAAAUUCAAUGUUCAAAAAUUCGCUGUCAAAAAAUUCGCUGUUCACAUCCGGGGGACUCAGGCGUAAACAAUCGAUCCCGGCCAAAAUCGAACCAACGCCCAGCCAAUCACGUGGCGCUCCUCGGGUCAUGUGACGUAGACGGUUCGCCUCACAACAUCGGGGUCAACCACGGAUAACGGCAUGAACAACGGCGCUUCAAUGCACAAUGAGGGACGUCUGCAGCGACUGAGAAAGAGUCUCACCACAUCCUGACAUGAGGAAAAAGACUUUAUUGAAGACUACAAUGAGAAAAACUAUCAGACAGCAGACGGCUGCAUUCAAGGUGAGCUCUGAACAUUUGAUCUGGAACAGGAAUUCAAUAACGGCAGCAUGAGCUUCAUUUCAGUCUGUAGCUGCUGAAUUCAUGGAUGAAUCAUCUGGCACUAGAGAGGAAGACCAUCAAACAUCCACGUCAGCUGAUGGAGGUCCAAGAGUCUCACCAAACAACCUACAGAGUGAAGACCUCAGAUCUGAUUGGACGGCCUCCUAUUCAGCCACGUGUGAACAAAUGCCUCUAAGUUGAUUUGUUUUCUAAAAUAAAUCUAGUGUGAGUCCUAA